rnacentral:rRNA from 1 species
AGCGAACGCUGGCGGCAGGCUUAACACAUGCAAGUCGAGCGGGCCCUUCGGGGUCAGCGGCAGACGGGUGAGUAACACGUGGGAACGUACCCUUUGGUUCGGAAUAACGCUGGGAAACUAGCGCUAAUACCGGAUACGCCCUUUUGGGGAAAGGCUUGCUGCCGAAGGAUCGGCCCGCGUCUGAUUAGCUAGUUGGUGGGGUAAUGGCCUACCAAGGCGACGAUCAGUAGCUGGUCUGAGAGGAUGAUCAGCCACACUGGGACUGAGACACGGCCCAGACUCCUACGGGAGGCAGCAGUGGGGAAUAUUGGACAAUGGGCGCAAGCCUGAUCCAGCCAUGCCGCGUGAGUGAUGAAGGCCUUAGGGUUGUAAAGCUCUUUUGUCCGGGACGAUAAUGACGGUACCGGAAGAAUAAGCCCCGGCUAACUUCGAG